rnacentral:lncRNA from 1 species
GAUUCUGUUAAUGCUGCUGCAAAUGGUCAGAUCCCUUCAGAGCGUUCUGGAACUCCAUUUCUGAAUGAUUUCAUGGACCCGAAUAUGUGCUAUGUUCCCAAUGGUUAUCCCUCAACUGCUUUCUACUAUGGGGGUAAGUGGUGAGCUUUGGUCUGCGGGAUUGUCUAGUUUGGAGAAAUCCAAAUUUGUUAGUUGGUAUAUUAACUGGUUAAUGUUAUUAUGUCGCUAUUAGAUGUGGCAUUGACCUGGUUAUAAACUCUUGCAGGGUAUGAUGGAAAUGUUGGUGAGUGGGAUGAUUAUACAAGAUAUGUAAGUCAAGAUGGAGUUGACAUGACUUCUGUAAGUUAUUAUGCUUCAACAAUGAUUGGAUGGGUUGUUUUUUGCAAGUAUAUAUUGCGGUCUAAUGAUUUGUUACGUUGUUUUGGUAUUCUUGCAGGGAGUGUAUGGAGACAAUGGGUCUCUUAUGUAUCACCAUGGCUAUGGGUAUGCACCCUAUCCGCCCUAUUCACCGGCAACAUCACCAGUUCCAACCAUGGGAACUGAUGGUCAGCUUUAUGGACCUCAGCACUACCAGUAUCCACACUACUUCCAGCCAAUUACUCCAACUAGUAGUCCAUACUCCCCAAGCCCUGUCGCUCCUACACCUGGGGAUAUUCCCACCUCUGUAGCUGCUGAUCAGAAGCCAUUGCCUGUAGAAAGCACCAAUGGGAAAUCCAAUGGUGUUGCCAAUGCGGGAGGUGUGAAGGGGAAUAAUGGUUCAGCUCCAUUUAAACCAACAUAUCAGCCCUUUAAUUCAAACAAUACAUAUGGAAGGGGUAGUUUGCCUGGACGAGGGCCUGCUUCUGGAUAUCAAGAUCCAAGGUGUAAUCUUGAUGGGAUGAGGUCUCCAAUUCCAUGGUUGGAUGGCCCCGUAAUUUCAGAUGCUAGGCCAGUUGCAAGCAACACCUUUAAUUCUUCAAUUUCAAACGUCAAUAAUGUUGCAUCUUCCAGAAAUCAGAACUACCGUCCGAAUUCUCAUUACAUGGUAUGCAUGAGUUGCCUUAUCUGCUUUUUAAUUAUGGUUUUUGUAUCAUGAAUCAAUUAGAAUAAUAUAAUGCCAGAUAUUUGAUUAUGUUGACUUGUGUUGUGAGAAAGUGUUGAUAUGAAUAAAUGUUACCGUUCCUUCACAAUUGAUAUUAAUUUGAGCCUCUGCUGUUGUGAUGAAUGUUUUGUGGUGGACAAAAAUUGAUGGUGGACAAAAGUUGAUGUUAGAUCAUUUUAUGCACAGAAAUAUUCAACACUUUAUUUAGCUAUCUCUGAAAGUUUUCUUUUCUCUUCUCCACAGGGUUUGCACCAUCCUAGACCGAUGUCUGGCAUGGGCGCUGCACAGGGUUUCAUGAAUAUGAAUAGGAUGUAUCCUAACAAGUUAUACGGUCAGUAUGGUAACACAUUUAGAUCUGGGGUGGGGUUUGGCUCCAAUGGCUAUGAUUUGCGAACAAAUGGUCGUGGAUGGUUGUCUGUUGAUGGGAAGUAUAAAUCCAGGGGACGUGGCAAUGGUUAUUUUGGUUAUGGUAAUGAGAACAUGGAUGGAUUGAAUGAGCUUAAUAGGGGACCUAGAGCCAAGGGAGCAAAAAACCAAAAGGGUUCAGCACCCAAUGCUUUACCAGUCAAAGAGCAGAAUGUGCUAACAAAUGGGACCGCUGAGGAUGAGAAUGAUAAGAUUAGUUUGAGUCCUGACAGAGAUGAAUACAAUAAAGCAGAUUUCCCAGAAGAGUACACUGAUGCUAAAUUCUUUGUCAUCAAAUCGUACAGUGAGGAUGAUGUCCAUAAAAGUAUCAAGUACAGUGUUUGGGCCAGCACCCCCAAUGGCAACAAGAAGCUUGAUGCUGCUUACCAGGAGGCUCAACAGAAGUCUCGCAGCUGCCCUGUAUUU